rnacentral:rRNA from 1 species
UACAGAGGUCCCAAGCGUUGUUCGGAUUCACUGGGCGUAAAGGGUGCGUAGGUGGUGGGGUAAGUCGGAUGUGAAAGCUCGGAGCUCAACUCCGAAAUGGCAUUGGAAACUACCCUGCUAGAGGAUUGGAGGGGGGACUGGAAUACUUGGUGUAGCAGUGAAAUGCGUAGAUAUCAGGAGGAACACCGGUGGCGAAGGCGGGUCUCUGGGCCGAUACUGACGCUGAGGAGCGAAAGCGUGGGGAGCGAACAGG